GGGUUCUAGGAUAUACAUCUAAUAAUCUUCUACUUGAUCUAAAGCCAAUUGGCUACUAAUUUUAGUCCCAUCUUCUCAAGAUGGACUUCAGUCUUCGACUGGUUUAACUGCUUCGUCAGUGGGUCUGUCAUGUUGUUCGUGAAGUCUACUCUUCACAUUUCGAUGUAUUUCUUCUCGAGAUAUCGCGUACAAUAUGAAAUCAUCGCUCGAUAUAUUUGGACUUCUGAUAAGACGUUGACUCCUUAGCUAGUGCUAUGGUGCCGUUGUUGUCGCAGUAGAAUGGGAUGGCAUCUGAUAUC
rnacentral:lncRNA from 1 species